GGUAACAGGAAGCAGCUUGCUGCUUCGCUGACGAGUGGCGGACGGGUGAGUAAUGUCUGGGAAACUGCCUGAUGGAGGGGGAUAACUACUGGAAACGGUGGCUAAUACCGCAUAACGUCGCAAGACCAAAGAGGGGGACCUUCGGGCCUCUUGCCAUCAGAUGUGCCCAGAUGGGAUUAGCUUGUUGGUGAGGUAACGGCUCACCAAGGCGACGAUCCCUAGCUGGUCUGAGAGGAUGACCAGCCACACUGGAACUGAGACACGGUCCAGACUCCUACGGGAGGCAGCAGUGGGGAAUAUUGCACAAUGGGCGCAAGCCUGAUGCAGCCAUGCCGCGUGUAUGAAGAAGGCCUUCGGGUUGUAAAGUACUUUCAGCGGGGAGGAAGGUGUUGUGGUUAAUAACCGCAGCAAUUGACGUUACCCGCAGAAGAAGCACCGGCUAACUCCGUGCCAGCAGCCGCGGUAAUACGGAGGGUGCAAGCGUUAAUCGGAAUUACUGGGCGUAAAGCGCACGCAGGCGGUCUGUCAAGUCGGAUGUGAAAUCCCCGGGCUCAACCUGGGAACUGCAUUCGAAACUGGCAGGCUUGAGUCUUGUAGAGGGGGGUAGAAUUCCAGGUGUAGCGGUGAAAUGCGUAGAGAUCUGGAGGAAUACCGGUGGCGAAGGCGGCCCCCUGGACAAAGACUGACGCUCAGGUGCGAAAGCGUGGGGAGCAAACAGGAUUAGAUACCCUGGUAGUCCACGCCGUAAACGAUGUCUACUUGGAGGUUGUGCCCUUGAGGCGUGGCUUCCGGAGCUAACGCGUUAAGUAGACCGCCUGGGGAGUACGGCCGCAAGGUUAAAACUCAAAUGAAUUGACGGGGGCCCGCACAAGCGGUGGAGCAUGUGGUUUAAUUCGAUGCAACGCGAAGAACCUUACCUGGUCUUGACAUCCACAGAACUUUCCAGAGAUGGAUUGGUGCCUUCGGGAACUGUGAGACAGGUGCUGCAUGGCUGUCGUCAGCUCGUGUUGUGAAAUGUUGGGUUAAGUCCCGCAACGAGCGCAACCCUUAUCCUUUGUUGCC
rnacentral:rRNA from 1 species